GUUUUAUCUAAUAUCUACUGUAUACCCCAUUCUAGAAUAUUUAUGAUUUAAAAUAUAUAUAAAAUUAAUUAGAUCCAUAUUUUAAAUCGUGCAAUCUAACUUUGUAAGAACCAUCUUCGUUAAUUAUAAUGUCUAUAAUGCGAUUUGUGUAAGUGCGGUAGUCAAGUAGAUGAGGUCACGAGAUGAACCAACACAUCCUCACAUAAUUUGUUCAAAUGCUGCACACUGCUUUAUGGUAUCGAAAUACUAGAGUUAAUAAAACAAACAAUUUAAAUAUUCAACAAGAGACACUACUAAUACAGUAUUAGAGAAGAUUAUAGUCCUGGGGGGGGGGGGAGAAAGAUUGUGCCGCUGGUCAAUGUGUAGGCUACCCGGUCACGUGGCUUACUUACAAUUGACCAACCAGAGACAGGUCUACAUGAUAGGCUACAGCCUAUUGCAUCAUUAAGAAAAAUAGCGCCAGAACCAAACACCAUGACCAUCCCAUUCCAGUCAUAGUACUCAUAGAUCUACUUCAAGAUUGUGUUGAUUUGUGAUUAACUCGACUCUAUUCUAACAACUUUGGAAUGUGUGCGUCAAGCAAAGACUCUCAGAACCAAAGAGUGAAAGAAUGAUGGCAUCACUAUGAUCACUUCUUGCUGGAUCUGUCCAAGAGUCAAUGAGUACAGGUGGACCAUGUUGGAAAAUAACUUUCAGUCAAGACUCAAGUUGAGACAAGAGCUCCAUUGAUGUUAUUGAUCAAACUGAACAUGUUCUAGAGAUACUGGAGAAAACAUUUGAGUGCAGUACAGACUCAUUUUCAAUUGAAAGCAAUUAAAAGAAGCAGAGAUAAAUACAAUCAGGAUUGGGUAUGAAUUACUAUGAAGCAAAUUUCCCAAUGGCAAAUAAUGUAUCACUGUUGGAAAUAAAAGUGAAACUGAAGGAUGAAGAUUCUCAUGAAAAUUUGAUCUAUCCAGUGAAAACAGCAUUAAGAGAACAAUAGUAUGGAUUAUAACUUGGCUGGACUGGACAUGGCACAAACAGAAAAUAAAUGUAUUGAAUUUACAAUCCAAAUUAUGGAUAUUAGAUUAUUCAAGUUAGUUACCCAAGCCUGUCAAAUAACUUAGAGAAAUUACUUGAACUUGGCACAUGUGAUGGCACAGAAAUCGUAAAAAAAGAAGGAUGAUGGCUUCAACUCUGAAGGAACAUCCCAAACAUGUAAAACAUUUUACAAACAAACCUAAUCAAAGUUUAUAAAUGUUUAAAAAAAGUAAGAUGCACAAGCAAAUUUAUUUACAUACUACAGAUAUUAAAACUAAUGACUAAUGGAAAAAAAAAAAACUACCUAUCUAGACUUAACAACAAAGAAAUAAGUAAAUAUAAUAAUUUAAACAUGUGCUGGAUCUUGUUAGUUUAAUAACAUACUAUGUAGGUGCAUUACAUAAAACAUGUAGUGGUUCUUGGUUGUUGAUUACCGGUACUGUGCUUUUUUCAAAUACACAUUAGUUUUGACUGUGACUCUCGCCUCACCGUGGAACAUAUCCUCGUUGAUUGCCCCAGAUACCAGGAUGUCAGGGCGAAAUAUUUUAGUCUCUAAUUUAAAUACACUAUUUGAUGGUGUUGACCCUGGGAAGGUAAUGGGCUUUAUCCGGGAAGUGGGGCUAUCUACGAAGAUCUGAUUUAUGAAUUUGUGAACAUGCACUAUUUACAUUAGAUUUUUACCAAAUAUUUAAAUUUUUACUACCUUUACUAUUUUAACUGAAUAGACCUUGAUUUUAAUGAUAUGACUGUAUAGAAUCUGGCCCUUGUUGUUUAGAGAGAGAGGGAUCCUUAGGGGACUGCAGGCACGACAUGGCCUAAAUUGUGCCGAUGUGCCUCAAAUCAAAAAUCAAAUCAAUCACAUUAGUUUUGUCAUAUGCUAAUUAUAUAUAUUUAUGUUCACCAUUAAUUAUUUCGUUCAGCUAUAGCAACAUAAGGAAGCAUGGUGGCUAAGUGGUUAACCAUUUGGCUUCCAGACCGGAAUUAGAAUCUCAGUGAAAAUUGGGAUUUUUAAGACACCCUAACUCUGAUGGAUACUGGUACCUGAUUUUAGCUGGGGAAAGUAAAGACAGUUGUUUAGCUAGCUACAUGACACCCUGCUUGUUAACCAUUAGCCAAAGAAACUGAUGGCCUUAACAUCAUCUGCCCUAUAGAUGCUAAGUUUGAAAAGGGGAACUUUACUUUUAUUACAACAUAAGGUUAUAAGUUGUAAGUUACAGAUGAUGUACCAUAUGAGCAUCAUUGUUGUUUACUGGCUUUUGAACAGUAGCUUGAAACAUUUGCUCUUACUUACAUAGAAUAUUCACUGUUAAAAAAUUAUGAAUAUGAUAAUGCAGCUAGUUACUCUGCUCAAAAUUGAAAAAAAUAUUUUGUUGAAAUUAUAAAAACAUGAGCUACCGGUAUAUAUAAAUGUAUAGUUUUCAUUGUUGAGCACACACUUUUUCUUUGGUACUGGGUAACGUACAUGACCUAUAUUUUUUUGAAAUAUUAUCAUCUAAAAUUAGGGGAGGUCUUGAGAAUAUUUACCUCGAACAGACUCAGCUUUGGGUUUUUGUGCAUGUAGACCCUAUUGAUUAAAAAGCACCAUUCUCUAAUUAUAUUUUACUUGUUUAAAUUUAUAUAUUUAUGGUUAUUAAUUAUUCUUUGUAUUUAUUUUUUUAAAUUUUUUUUGUAAAGUAAGCACUGGUAUUUUUCUAAAAGUAUGUUUCACAUUUAUUUCAUUUUAAACAAAUUAAGUCAUUUACUUAAUGUUCAAUUAUGUUCUAAAUGUAUGUUUUUAAAAUUUCAGUGUUUAUAUUGCUAACAUUUCACAAACUUGUUACAGGUAGCUUAUUUUUGUUUUGGUCAUUUUUUCUUUAGAACUACCGGUACAACAUAAUCUGAUGUUAAUUUUUUUUUUUAAAUUUGUUUCAUGAUUGUCAAAACAGUUUGCUUUUCAAUUUACAUACAGCAGGCCCAUACUUUGUUUAGAUAAUUCUGAAUUACAUUCUAUAUAUAAUUUAUAGGUUUCUGUAUAGGCUAUUCAAGCUUUUGUACAUGUUAAAAUUUCAUAAAUUUGGUAGCCAUUAUAUUUUUUAAAAAAUUUUAUGGCAUAAUAAGUACUUAUUGUAUUUUUUAAAAUAUAAGCAUCCAUAUUUUAAAAACUUAUUUCUAAUUUGCCAUUUUAAGCAAUUUGUUAUUACAAUUAAUAUUUAAAUGAAUAUGCUUUUACUUAUUUCAGUGUACAUAUUGCUUACAUUCCACCAACUCAAUACUUUUUUUGUUACUUUUAUUUUUUUAUAUUUUUUUUACAAAAUUACAAAAGCUAAGUUGUUUUUUUUUUGUUGUUGUUGUUGUUGUUUUUAUGAUUGUCAAAACUGUUUGCUUUAAACAUAAUUUUUAUACAGCACUUAUACUUUCUGUAGAUGAUCCUGAAUUAUGUUCUUUAUAAAUUUGUUAUAGAUUUUCAUGUUAUCAUUCACAACAUUGCUAACAUUAACAUUUUAUAAUGCAAUAAACUAUUAAUUUCAA